UACGUAGGGUGCGAGCGUUGUCCGGAAUUACUGGGCGUAAAGAGCUCGUAGGUGGUUUGUCGCGUUGUCCGUGAAAACUCACAACUCAAUUGUGGGCGUGCGGGCGAUACGGGCAGACUGGAGUACUGCAGGGGAGACUGGAAUUCCUGGUGUAGCGGUGGAAUGCGCAGAUAUCAGGAAGAACACCCGUGGCUAAGGCGGCUCUCUAGUACGUGACUGACGCUGAGACGCGAAAGCGUGGGGAGCGAACAGG
rnacentral:rRNA from 1 species